rnacentral:rRNA from 1 species
UACGUAGGGUGCGAGCGUUAAUCGGAAUUACUGGGCGUAAAGCGUGCGCAGGCGGUUCGUUAAGUUCGUUGUGAAAGCCCCGGGCUCAACCUGGGAACUGCAAUGGAAACUGGCGGGCUUGAGUGUGGCAGAGGGGGGUGGAAUUCCGCGUGUAGCAGUGAAAUGCGUAGAGGUGCGGUGGAACACCGAUGGCGAAGGCAGCCCCCUGGGCCAACACUGACGCUCAGGCACGAAAGCGUGGGGAGCAAACAGG